GACGAACGCUGGCGGCGUGCUUAACACAUGCAAGUCGAACGGAAAGGCCCCGUUGUGGGGUACUCGAGUGGCGAACGGGUGAGUAACACGUGAGUAACCUACCCCUGUCUUUGGGAUAACUUCAGGAAACUGGGGCUAAUACCGGAUAGGAGCUCCUGCUGCAUGGUGGGGGUUGGAAAGUUUCGGCGGUUGGGGAUGGACUCGCGGCUUAUCAGCUUGUUGGUGGGGUAGUGGCUCACCAAGGCUUUGACGGGUAGCCGGCCUGAGAGGGUGACCGGCCACAUUGGGACUGAGAUACGGCCCAGACUCCUACGGGAGGCAGCAGUGGGGAAUAUUGCACAAUGGGCGGAAGCCUGAUGCAGCAACGCCGCGUGCGGGAUGACGGCCUUCGGGUUGUAAACCGCUUUCGCCUGUGACGAAGCGUGAGUGACGGUAAUGGGUAAAGAAGCACCGGCUAACUACGUG
rnacentral:rRNA from 1 species